ensembl:lincRNA
GGGAUCUCAUCACCACUGCAUUCAUCACUGGCUGAUCUACUUGGACCUGCUGCUGAAGACUGAUGGGGCUCAGGGUCCAUAGCCCCCAUUAAGGUGUCCUCAGAGCCCCAAGUUUCACUGGAGGUCUCAGGAUGCAAGUGUUCACCAGUUGUCCUGGCUGAAACACCUGGCACCAGCUUCUGCGUGGGCAUCAACCAUCAUCCCGUCAACCUUCCUGAACCCCAAUAUGAUGCCCCCUCUCAGCAGGAAUCAGGGUCCAGAGAAGUGAUGGCAGCCACAGAUGGAGGACUAGGACCAACCAGGAAUCCAGCCUGUUCCUGCCCUGAGAUGUCUCCAAGGCUGGCGAUGAAAGACUGCCCCCCGUGGAGUGCCCUGCAGCUGGCCACAUCCGGGACAAGACAGCCAGGAUGUGGGCUUCCAAACGGAAGCAUCAGACAGAAGCCAGGCAGGAAGAAGCAGAAAGGUGUUGACUCUGACCCCAGCUCCACCAAGCAAUGGAACCUCCAGGAGCGUCUUCUCUUCCGUCUGGGCCUCCUCUGCUGGAAGGUGGGGAUGGGAAAGCUGUGUACCGCAGGGCAGGCAUAAGGACAGGAAAGCUCUAGGACCCAGGGGCUCCAGGUCCACUUCCCAGGACAGGCGUCUUCCAUCCCUUUGUCCUGAAACCUUCAGCCUUGUCCUCAGGCAGGUGACAGCGCUUUGCUUUUCAGGGCGUCUGUGUGUGACAAGCCUCCUGCCUCAUGUCCCCAUCUCUUCCCAGGGACCAGGAAAGUUCCCAGAAUUCCCCCUGCAAACUUCCGCUCACACCCAGCCUCCCAGAGCACCACAGGCUCAGGGCCAGCACCAGUCACUGGCGAGGUGACAGGGUCCACGUGGCUGCCCACCAGUGGGGCCCACUCUGGAACACGGGGGCUCUCUGUGGAGGCAAAAAUGGGGCUCCUGGAACAGAGCACUGUGUGGCCCUGUUAUGAAGAAGAGGACUUAUCCGAGCAUGAUCUGGACACUGAGAAGGAGCCACCUGUACUGUUGUUCCAUGAGGAGACAACACUCCAGACAGAGGCUUGGAGGAAGAGCCCGGUACUCACAGCAUACCGGGAGACCGCCCAGUGACAGAAUGGACGGAGUGAGAGGGAGGUGGCACAAUGAUAACAACUAUAUCUUCAAGAACUUAAAAUAUACAGAGAGAAUCAUAAGAUACUAACUGUCCCAGGUCUCGGAGAGGCACGAAGGAGUUAGUGUUAAGAAUUCUGUGUCAUCUGCGAGGAAGACAGCAGUAGGAGUAGAUACCAACCAGCAAAGAUGACAUUUUAACUUAGACAACAUGCUGUCCAGUGUGGGAGCCGUGAGCCCUAUGGGGGUGUUUACAUUCAAUAUAUUUAACACGGGGCUGGGGAUUUAGCUCAGCGGCAUAAGCACCUGCCUUGCAAGCAGGUGGUCGUGAGUUCGAUCCCCGGUAUCGAUAAAAAUGAAAAAGACAAAAAAAAAAAAAAAAUAUAUAUAUAUAUAUAUAUAUAUAUAUAUAUAUAUAUAUAUUUAAUACUUCAAGCCGGG